AUGUUGUUUGAAAGGAGAGAAGGUUAGCACUCCCCUUGACAAGGAUGGAAGAGACCCUCGGGCCCGACAACAUGCAUAUGGUCAAGGCAUUGCCACCUACUUCACAGCAUCUAACCGACGUUUUUC
rnacentral:ncRNA from 1 species